GAUGAAGAACGUAGCGAAAUGCGAUAAGUAAUGUGAAUUGCAGAAUUCAGUGAAUCAUCGAAUCUUUGAACGCACAUUGCGCCCGCCAGUAUUCUGGCGAGCAUGCCUGUUCGAGCGUCAUUUCAACCAUCAAGCCCCAGGCUUGUGUUGGAGCCCUGCGGCUGCCGCAGCCUCCCAAAACCAGUGGCGGGCUCGCUAUCACACCGAGUGCAGUAGUUUACUCUUCGCUCAGGGCGUGUGGCGGGUGCUAGCCGUAAAACCCCCAACUUCUCAAGGUUGACCUCGGAUCAGGUAGGAAUACCCGCUGAACUUAAGCAUAUCAAUAAGCGGAGGA
rnacentral:misc_RNA from 1 species